GACGAAGGGGGCUAGCGUUGUUCGGAAUUACUGGGCGUAAAGCGCGUGUAGGCGGUUAUCCAAGUCGGGUGUGAAAGCCUUGAGCUCAACUCAAGAAAUGCAUUCGGUACUGGGUGACUAGAGGACCGGAGAGGAUAGUGGAAUUCCCAGUGUAGUGGUGAAAUACGUAGAGAUUGGGAAGAACACCAGUGGCGAAGGCGGCUAUCUGGACGGUUUCUGACGCUAAGACGCGAAAGCGUGGGGAGCAAACGGG
rnacentral:rRNA from 1 species